rnacentral:sRNA from 1 species
GUGAAGACAAUGUUGUUCACGGAGAUGACAACAUUGAUGGAAGUGGUGAUGGAAGAGUUCAUUGUUGGUGUUGAUGGUGAUGACAGUGGCAAUUGAGGUAGUGAUGGUGGUGUUGUUAGCAGAGGUGACAAGGUUGAUGGUAAUGACCUUUAUUCAUCUCAGAGCCUUCAUUUUCCUUCAUCCUUGACCCUCCUCGUUUGUAUCUAGGAACCAGACAGUUACUCUUGGAGGCAUCUUCCAGUUGGGAAACUGGAGUGAACUAAACAAUAUCCAGGACCACAACACCAUUUGGGAAGGCUGUUGCAGACUGGAGCCCACACUGAAGAAUGCAAGAAUUAUUGGUGAACAAACUGGCUUCCGGCCAGUACGCCCCCAGAUUCGGCUAGAAAGAGAACAGCUUCGCACUGGACCUUCAAACACAGAGGUCAUCCACAACUAUGGUCAUGGAGGCUAUGGGCUCACUAUCCACUGGGGAUGUGCCCUGGAGGCAGCCAAGCUCUUUGGGAGAAUCCUG